AGUGAACGCUGGCGGCGUGCUUAACACAUGCAAGUCGAACGGUAACGCAAAGUGCUUGCACUUUGGCGACGAGUGGCGCACGGGUGAGUAAUAUAUAGUUAAUGUACCUUCAAGACUGGGAUAGCCACUGGAAACGGUGAUUAAUACUAGAUACACCUUCAUAUCACAAGGUAUGAAGGGAAAUGUUUUUUCGCUUGAAGAUCAGACUAUAUCCUAUCAGUUAGUUGGUGAGGUAAGAGCUCACCAAGACGAUGACGGGUAGCGGGUUUGAGAGGAUGAUCCGCCACACUGGUACUGAGACACGGACCAGACUCCUACGGGAGGCAGCAGUGAGGAAUAUUGCACAAUGGAGGAAACUCUGAUGCAGCAACGCCGCGUGGAGGAUGACGCAUUUCGGUGUGUAAACUCCUUUUAUGAGUCAAGAAAAUGACGGUAGCUCAUGAAUAAGCACCGGCUAACUCCGUGCCAGCAGCCGCGGUAAUACGGAGGGUGCAAGCGUUACUCGGAAUCACUGGGCGUAAAGGACGCGUAGGCGGGAUGUCAAGUCAGGUGUGUGAUCCUAUGGCUCAACCAUAGAACUGCACUUGAAACUGGCAACCUAGAGUAUGGGAGGGGGAGAUGGAAUUAGUGGUGUAGGGGUAAAAUCCGUAGAUAUCACUAGGAAUACCUAAAGCGAAGGCGAUCUCCUGGAACAUAACUGACGCUAAGGCGUGAAAGCGUGGGGAGCAAACA
rnacentral:rRNA from 1 species